ensembl:lncRNA
AUUGAUUGUUUACAUAUACAAUAAUGUAUUUCCUUUUGUAACGCGGGACUGCAGACGGCAACGCACAGCCACGAGAACACAAAGGUCAUUAAGUGUCCUCUUCAUGUUACACAUUAGCUCCAUGCUAAUAGAUUUUAUGUAAAGGAGCUAUAUUUAGAAAUAGGCUUACGGCACUCAGGCUUACGUAAGCCGAUCAGACAGCGGCGCACAUUUUCAUGUGAUGAUUUUUCACAGGAGAGCUCAUGAGAAAUGGAUUGUGUACUUUAAUGUGCGCGGAGAAGCGACGCAGGACAUCCUGAUGUCACAGGCUGAAGAGAGGAAGUGGACGCAGCCGCCGUGACGCCUCCCGCCGCCGCGUGGAAGGACGUUUUGAGGCCUCUACUUCACUGAUUUGGCCGUCGCCAUGUUGUUUUUUUGCCACCGGGGCAACGGAAGUGACCAUAUUUGGACUGCAGAAGAGUUACAGAGACGCUUCCAGAGCAAAUUGCUGAGCUUCAGUUCUGCCGAGGACGACGUGUCUGAUCUCGGGUGAAGUUUGUUCAAUCGGGUUAAAAGUAUGACUCAUUCACUCCACACAGAUUUCACAACAGCAUAACGACAGUUUGGUAAGUGACCAGUUAUGUGGUAAGAUGCAUUAGAACAAAUUGUUACGCCAGCACGCGGUUUUCCAACAACACCCUGUUGUUCACCUGUCAGUCGAGCUUUGAUGGAUCGUUUCCUCAUUACAGUUGGACGUCUCACGUGUCAGCCUCGCGUCAGUGACGAGCCGGUACGUCAGCAGGACAUCGAGCAAUGCGACGCGUCCUGCGAUGUGAACUCGAUCCGGAUCAGGAAAUGAAGCAACGAUCUGGCAAAGGUUUCCUCCAAAGUCGUGCGAGAGGAGCAGCCGCUCCGUGACCUGUGGAGGUGUCUGCUGUCCGCGUUGCCGCCAGAGGUCCGACAAGCUGACGGCAUCGGCGGCUGUGAUACUAAUUAUUUAGGAAGCACAUCGUCCAAAUCCACUGGAGAAAUGACGUGUGAGCCCGGGGGGGUUCAGACACAUGACAGGAGGCAGCAAAGACCACAACAUCCCUGAAACGAGGAAAAGCAGAUGUGACGUGACAAGGCGUGCAGAUGUUGUAACAAACCGCUGCUCUCGUGCACGACGAGCCACAAGUGGGCGGCGCCCGUGACCACCAACCGCCGGCCUCCAAAAACAUGUUUUUCGUUUUUAACACGGCGGAAUAACUGGUGUCCACUGGUCCCUGCUAAUCACCGCAGGACGUUUUCCUCCAGGAGUCGGACAAAGGGUCCCGAGGGACGACCCGCAGCGUGCAGCCCACCCCUCCGGGCGCGUACAGUAGCGUGCGACCUUCAAGCCGCCCUUCGAGGUCGUCUGGGUGCUUUUCGUUCAUUCACAGAUGUAAACAAGGCCCCACGACCUUCACACAUGUGGGGAGUUUAAUUCUGUCCAAAUACUGUGGAAGCAUUUUCUACUUCUUGACUUUCCAACUGCACAACAAAUAGUGAACGAAUGUGUUGUCGACUUCCCCUCAUGACUCUGUAAUACUUUAUGCAAGAAAACCGCUCAGUAACAACGCCGUUCAUGUCAUUUCAUCCAAUGAAGUGCGGAUUAACUCCAGCUAUUUGUGUUGUGUUCAAAGAGGCAAAUGGCCAUUUAGUCUAAAUUAUGACAGUAAAAAUAGUAAUGAGGGAACAUAAAAUAAGUUUUGCGAUAAAAACAAUGUUUAGAUACACAACAAAUAAUAAAAGACAAGAAGGU